GAGAAAUUGAGACUCAACAUUUUUCUUAAAGUAUCUUUUUCCUUUCCAUUUUGUGUUAGUGUUUCUCUCUCUUUUCCCUUCUCUCUCCCUUCUCAACUUUCAUCAGCUUCUUCAUCUGGUGUUCAUCUUCCGAGUGUGAGCUUUCUGUUUCAAUGACAUUUUCCUAAAAUCUUUAUUUAGUAGACCUUAUCCUCUUUACCGGAGUUGUACAUUGUCGUUUGCAAAAGCGGAAAAAAUGAGAAUAAAUUAAUACACCUCCAAGGAAUAAAGAGGCUUCACCAAAUACGGGAAGCUCCCAUGUUGUAGUGGACGAAGAGCGAUGGCAUUUCCCUUAACAGCUUAGGUAAAGAUUCCUUAUAAAGCUUAUUAUACUUCUGUGACGCACUCAAAUUUGUUAGUUCAAAGAGAAACUGCUGCUUCAUGCCUGAGUAAUUUUUAAAAAGGAGUAAGUCAUCUAUCAUUUUGAGUGUCCUCUUGAGUUUUCUAUAUCCAGGGAUCUGAGAGUCAAUACAAUGAGUAGAACAUGACCUUCACAGUCAAAUUGUUAGUAUCCCACUUGCUUAAUAAUUAAGAAGCAGCCAUACAUUUGUCCUAAACUUAAUAAAAGAUCACAAUCUAUAAUAAAUAAGCCACUUUUGCACAAUUUUGGAAAGAACAUUUUUAGCAUGGACGUUGUGAGUACCUUCCCUCUUGGUUCUGUUUGCUUGAGUCAUUCAAUUUAACAAUAUCUGAUGUGCUUUAUGUAAAUAUCCCAGGUUGGAAAUGCACUAUAUGAUGGUCAACUUCUUGAUGUUCAUUUUACACGGUCCUUCGACAAGCAUAUAGUUUGAGCUCUGACAUAUCAUGAUAUCAAAGCUAUUGAUCCUAACCACUUCAAAAAUUUGAAAUGACUGCUUGAAGUGCAGUAAUUUCUGUUUUCUCUGGGAUUAUAGAAAUUAACCUGGUAAUCAAAAAUAGAACAUCACCAGAGCAAAACUGGAACAUAAAUUGAAUUUCUUAAAAAAGAAAAACAAAAGCGAGACUAGAAACAGAAGCACUUGAAAUAAAAAGAUUAGUAACAGAUAUGAAGAUUUAAGUGAGAGAUAAAGAGUCGGAGAAAGGAACGAAGAGUUAAGAAGGAGAAGUGGAAAACACACAUUCCAAAAAUUUACACGCGUGUCACCCAAAAAUAGGAGAAGUGAGGAGUUGUGUCUAUAGUAAAAGAGUAAAAAAAUCAUUAUGACCAAGUUUAAUUGUACAAAACACAACCAUUGAAAUUUCAGCAUUUGUGUUACUGUGGUUCUCGUUUCCAUUUGUGUAAUGCAGGUGGCUGACAACGGACUAAUCCCGAGUGGAUAAAAUAUCAGAGUCGCUGAGGAAAAUAAGCAAUAGUAUGUUGACUUGGUUGCUGAGAAUCGUUUGACGACUACUAUCUGCCCUCUGAUAAAUGCAUUUUUGGAAGGAUUUAAUUAAUUGAUCCCGCAGGAUCUGAUCUCUAUUUUUCAGGACAAGGAAAUUGAGUUGUUAACUAUCGGUCUUCCAAACAUCGAUGAUCAUCGAUCGUAUGUUUCAUUAUUUUCUUUAUGUGUUAAUUCAUGUAGUAAUCCUGUAUUAGAUAGUUAUUUCACAAAGAUCAAGAAAGAAUAAAAGAAAGCAUGUUCGCUAGAAAACACAGUGGCUACUCUCAUUGUACAUUUGAAACUCGAACAAUUGGAUAUCAAAAUCUAGAGAUGUAGUGGCAGAUAAUGAAUGCAGUACACUGAGCCACAUUAAUGAAAACUGAUGAAAAUGGAAAAAAUAUUAUAUGACAUGCCUCAACUUUUAAAUUUUGCAACAAAUUGUCCACUCUCAAUGUAACGUAUUAUGUUUCUAGCACAGUCCAACGUCUCCUUUUCUUAGCUAGAAACAAAACCAAGCUAUUAUCUAAUGAAGCCAAAUCAAUGUGCUCUAUUGUGUUUCAAUCUAAUAAGAACCACCCGAACUUUCUAUAUAUAGCUUCAUAACAGGUUUGCCAAUUUUGCUAAAGAUACCACUAGAAGUCCAUGUUGCUUCCUCUGUCCAUAUUACUUCUAUUGCUUUCCUUUUAUGUGCAUCUAAUUUACUGCAAAUGAAUUGGCAUCAACCCCUAUAUUCUAUUGCAUAUUUAAUUAGUAGUCUUGAAAUCAGCUCAGGUGAUAUGAGGAGAUAAUGGGUUAUUCCAUAUCUUAUUCAUUUAAUUUAUCAGAAUACCUUACAUGUAAGCUGAUUAAUAUUGCGACCUAAGGAACAUCCAACAUGUUGACAUUUAUCUAGAGAAAUCAACACAAUGGUUAAUGGUUAUAGCUGCCAAUUUGAGUUUUUUGGUUUUCUCUCCUCCUUGAUCUCACACAACUGGACACCAUAAUCACAUGGAUUGUCACUGUAUACUAUAUUGUUGCUAUUCCCACUCUGGGGCUUUUGAUUGGUGUUGACAAGUUUCUUCUUCAGUGGUGAAAGAGGAAUAAACUAGCUUAUGAUUUUAAGAUUUUUUUUUUCCAUUUCUUUUUUGGAAGCUCUAUCACUUAUAUAUGUAGAUGAGAGUGCUAUUGUAACUCUCUCUCUCUCCAUUUUCUUUUGUAUUUCGGGUCUGAGAUGGAUGUAAGGCAAAAAAGGAAAUGAGGAGUUUAGGAAAAUGGGCUAUAAAUUAGAAGUGGCCAAAUCAUUCAUCUUCAUUGGAACAUGUGGAUUAUGUAUUUAUGUUGAGCAUCAUCUAGUGGAGAAUGAUUGCAGCACAAGUAAGAGAUUGAAUUGCUAAUUAUAAAAGUUGUCUUGGAGUCUUUUUGAGAAUUAAGGGCUCAUUUAGUACAAGGGAUAAGGGAUAAAUACUUACGGGAUUAAAUUUGAGGUGAGUUUAUCCCAUGUUUGGUUGGGAUAAAAUCUCAGUAUAACUAAUCCUAGGAUCAGUUAUCCCAGGAUUGUAGUGUUAUUGUAUUCCUAUGGGAGGGUGGAAUAACUAAUCCCUGUAUAAGUAAUACUCGGAUAACUUGUUUCCCAACCAAACGACCCCUAAGAGUUAUCUGGUAGCUUUUUCAUUGCUGGAAAGGUAGAAUGGGAUGCACCAGCUGAUAAUGCUUAGUUCAUCAGUUGAAAAUAUUAUGCACUUGCCAGACAUAAAUGAUUCAUAGUUACAUGUGUUAACAUCUGUUUUGAGUCCAAGUGUUUAAUUUGGAGUCCUUUUGUGCUUCUACUUUUUCUUUCGAGGUUUCUCAAACAUGUAGUUAUAUAUUUUGGUGUUUAAAGUCUGCUUUAAGUCCUUUAGGUUGGUCUUCCACGAGAGAAUUCAACUGUUUCAUGGUCAAAAGUUCACAUGUACUGCAGAGAGAGAAUAAAAGCGGGGCAUGCAUCUACUUUUGAAGAGAUGUUUAGUUUCUUCACUUUCAAGUUUGUUUGUAAUUAUAAUUAAGGGUACAUAAAAUACCUUAUUUGUAUAUGUUGCUAUGAUUCAAUCAAUGACAAUUAUAAUGGACGUUCUCAUA